rnacentral:rRNA from 1 species
GUGGGGAAUAUUGGACAAUGGGCGAAAGCCUGAUCCAGCCAUGUCGCGUGUGUGAAGAAGGUCUUCGGAUUGUAAAGCACUUUAAGUUGGGAGGAAGGGCAGUAAGUUAAUACCUUGCUGUUUUGACGUUACCGACAGAAUAAGCACCGGCUAACUUCGUGCCAGCAGCCGCGGUAAUACGAAGGGUGCAAGCGUUAAUCGGAAUUACUGGGCGUAAAGCGCGCGUAGGUGGUUUUGUAAGUUGGAGGUGAAAACCCCGGGCUCAACCUGGGAACUGCAUCCAAAACUGCAUGACUAGAGUACGGUAGAGGGUAGUGGAAUUUCCUGUGUAGCGGUGAAAUGCGUAGAUAUAGGAAGGAACACCAGUGGCGAAGGCGACUACCUGGACUGAUACUGACACUGAGGUGCGAAAGCGUGGGGAGCAAACAGGAUUAGAACCCCGGUAGUCC